UUUUGAUGUAUUAUUUGUGUCAGUGGAGUGAGAUUUGUGGGCGUGGGAGCGAUAUAUUCGAGCGAGGUUCUGUCGAUCAGAGACGAGGUCUGCACUCUAGCUGAUGACAUCAUCACUCUAAACUCUCCAAUACACACCCAUUAUAAAGCUUGAAAUUUGCUGAAAACCACAAGUUGCUUAAAGCUAAAUUGUGGAAAAACUGUAAGAGAUAUCAAAAAACUGAGUACAACUGUAAUAGUCGACAAGUGAAUGAACAUUUUAAAGCAAAAAUGAGGUCUCUAGGUGAAAGUAUGCAGAAGUUACAAGGUUCAGAAGGUGGAAGAAAAACAGGAAGAAUUGGAAGAUUUCCCCAUUGACUUCAAUGUUAAAAUUUUUGCAUAAAAAGUUAAAAAAAUCAAAAAGUAUAAAGGGUAGAAAAGUGAAAAGUAAUCGCCGUCAUGUCCUGAAGGAGAGGAAUAGUUUAAAGUUUGAACGGUUGAAAUCGCACAAAGUGGAGAAGAGUUAUAAAGUGCCAAAAAAUGGCGGAAGAAAAAUAAUAAUAAUAAUAAUAAUAAUAAAGAAACAGGAGAAUAACAAUAAGUGGAAAUGCCUAUCAGCAUUUCCACUUAAUAACUAGAAAAAUUGCAUUUCCUUGCAGAAAAUGCGUGGAAAUGCUGAGUGCUGAAAGCUGAAAAAGCAAUGCUAAACUGCUAAUAAAACAUGGAGAAAGGUAUAAAUGUUAAAGCUGUUGAAGGGGUGAAAAAGAAAUAUAAGUUGGAUAAUAGUUUAAUUGGUUGAAGGACAAAUAGUAUGAAUAUGCUCUAUAAAAGGAAAUUUUAUUCAUGCUGAAAGAGGCUAGAAAAAUGUCUAAAAUUGCACAAAGUUUGAAUGAAGAAGGAAACUGCCUUUAAAGGCAGGAAGGUGAGAAGUGGCACAAGUUUAAGUUGUAGUACUAGAAGAAGUAUGAUAAGAAGUCAAGUCGUGAUACUAGUAGUCAUGUCAGCAGUAGAAGUAGAUUGAGAAUAAAAGAAGUAUAAGUCAAAGUAGUAAAGAAAGUAGAAAUAGUAGCAAUAGCAGCAGUAGAGAAAGUAGAAAUAGGAGCAAUAGCAGUUGAAGUAGAGGGGAAAGUUCUAGUUUAAUUGACAUAAGUAGUUGUAGUACUAGAGGUAGGAUUUUGUUUGAAGGACGGAUUAAUGCAUAAAUAUUAAAAAUAAUAUAAAACAGGGAAAAUUUUAUUAAUUAAAAAUCCUCAAGUAUCAGACAGUUUUUAAGUAUUAGAAAGGUUUGAAUCAUUUUGAAUGAGUUUAAAUUAGUUUGAAAAAUUAAAUGAUAAAUUAUCACUGAGUGACUUUAAAAUGUGAAACAUUUAAAUGAAUAUAAAUCCUAAAUACACCCCAUAAUGUCCUCAAUGAGCUUAAAUUUUAAAGCCCUGAAUGGUUUCUGUAGGUCAAAGGUCAUGUGAGGAGAUAGGGGCUGAAGGUUUUUCAAGCGCUCUAGGAAAGGGUUUUAAGUGUCAUCCCCAGUGCUAUGUGUACUGAGCCUGGCUUCAUGUGUCUCAUAUGGCUAUUAGAAGCAGCUUUCCAGUCAGCUGUGUGUCUCCAGGUGCACAAAUUGGUUGCCAUGGGGACCUUGGAUGAAUAACUAUAGCAGGAGAAAGAAGGCUUGAAGCUAAGGAAACAGGACUCCAAGUAGGCCCUGACGCUCAUCCUCUGUAUAAAUUCAUAAGGAGCUUGUGAGAACACAAGAUUUUGCUGAACACAUUAAUACAAUUUAUUAUCACAAUCCUCAAAACACCCCAUAAUAUCUUCAAUGAGCUGAAUUUUUCAAGCCCAGAAUGGUUUCUGUAGCUCAAAGUUUGUGGGCGGAGAUAGGUGGUGAAGCAGACACAUAUUAUCUGUGUGUACAAGCAGGUGAACUGCAAGGUAGACCUGACAAUGCAACAAGUACAAGAAUGUGUGUGUGUGUGUGUGUGUGUGUGUGUGUGUCUCAUUAAUGACUGCAUCCCUAACAGCUGUGAGAUCAAAGGCAAAUCACUGACCUACUGUUUGAAUGACAAGCAGCUGAACAGCAGAGGAUUAGAAGCCUGUGAACUUCUUCACAUAGCGUGAUUUCCUUAAGUCCCAGAAUGAAAAUAAGAACAUCGUACGAAUCCUCCGCCCUUCAUGAACACAAUGAUGUCUUUUUCAUGUCUGUACUCCGAAAAAUGUGGCCACAACAGCGAGUUAAAAAAGUCUGAGCCUGAGUGACGAUAAGGAUUUUCUUGGAGAAGAAAUACAUUAGGGCCAAUGGGGAGAUAUUUGCGCCUAUCUGGACAGUUGGUCACCUGCUGGCCAAGGGGUACGAUUUAAUGAUUUGAAACCUCUUUUGUGAGAAGCAGGACACAUAUACCUCCAUUUUGAUGUAUUAUUUGUGUCAGUGGAGUGAGAUUUGUGGGCGUGGGAGCGAUAUAUUCGAGCGAGGUUCUGUCGAUCAGAGACGAGGUCUGCACUCUAGCUGAUGACAUCAUCACUCUAAACUCUCCAAUACACACCCAUUAUAAAGCUUGAAAUUAGCUGAAAAACACAAGUUGCAUAAAGCUAAAUUGUGGAAAAACUGUAAAAGAUAUCAAAAAACUGAGUACAACUAUAAUAGUCGACAAGUGAAUGAACAUUUUAAAGCAAAAAUGAGGUCUCUAGGUGAAAGUAUGCUGAAGUUAUAAGGUCUAGAAGGUGGAAGAAUGAAAGGAAGAAGUUGAAGAUUUCCUCAUUGACUUCAAUGUUAAAAUUUUUGCACAAAAAGUUAAAAAAAACAAAAAGUAUAAAGGGUAGAAAGAAAAAAAAUACACGCCAUCAUGUCCUGAAGGAGUGGAAUAGUUUAAAGUUUGAAUGGUUGAAAUCGGACAAAGUUUGAAGGAGGAGAAGCGCGGCAAAAAUCGGCGGAAGAAUAAUAAUAACUAGAAAAAUUGCAUUUCCUUGCAGAAAAUGCGUGGAAAUGCUGAGUGCUGAAAGCUGAAAAAGCAAUGCUAAACUGCUAAUAAAACAUGGAGAAAGGUAUAAAUGUUAAGGCUGUUGAAGGAGUGAAAAAGAAAUAUAGGUUGGACAAUUGUUUAAUUGGUUGAAGGACAAAUAGUAUGAAUAUGCUCUAUAAAAGGAAAUUUUAUUCAUGCUGAAAGAGGCUAGAAAAAUGUCUAAAAUUGCACAAAGUUUGAAUGAAAAAGGAAAUUGCCUUAAAAGGCAGGAAGGUGAGAAGUGGAAUAAGUCUAAGUUUUUAUGUAUUAGAAAGGUUUGAAUCAGUUUGAAUGAGUUUAAAUUAGUUAGAAAAAUUAAAUGAUAAAUCAUCACCGAGUGACUUAUAAAAGUGAAAAAUUUAAAUGAAUAUAAAUCUGAAUACACUCCAUAGUGUCCUCAAUGAGCUUAAAUUUUAAAGUCCUGAAUGGUUUCUGUAGGUCAAAGGUCAUGUGAGGACAUAGGGGCUGACGUUUUUUCAAACGCUCUAGGAAAGGGUUUUAAGUGUCAUCCCCAGUGCUAUGUGUACUGAGCUUGGCUUCAUGUGUCUCAUAUGGCCAUUAGAAGCAGCUUUCCAGUCAGCUGUGUGUCUCCAGGUGCACAAAUUGGUUGCCAUGGGGACCUUGGAUGCAUGACUUUAGCAGGAGAAAGAAGGCUUGAAGCUAAGGAAACAGGACUCCAAGUAGGCCCUGACGCUCAUCCUCUGUAUAUAUAUUAAUAAGGAGCUUGUGAGAACACAAGACUCUGCUGAACACAUUAAUACAAUUUAUUAUCACAAUCCUCAAAACACCCCAUAAUAUCUUCAGUGAGCUGAAUAUUUGAAGCCCAGAAUGGUUUCUGUAGCUCAAAGUUUGUGGGUGGAGAUAGGUGGCGAAGCAGACACAUAUCAACUGUGUGUACAAGCAGCUCAACUGCAAGGUAGACCUCAUAAAGCAACAAGUACAAGAAUGUGUGUGUGUGUGUGUGUGUGUCUCGUUAAUGACUGCAUCCUAAACAGCUGUGAGAUCAAAGGCAAAUCACUAACCUACUGUUUGACUGAGAGGUGCUGAACUGCAGUGAACUUAGGGCCUGUGAACUUCUUCACAUAGCGUGAUUUCCUUAAAUCCCAGAAUGAAAAUAAGAACAUUGUACGAAUCCUCCGUCCUUCAUGAACACAAUGAUGUGUUUUUUAUGUCUCUACUCCGAAAAAUGUGGCCACAACAGCGAGUUAAAAAGUCUGAGCCUGAGUGGCGAUAAGGAUUUUCUUGGAGAAAAAAUACAUUAGGGCCAAUGGGGAGAGAUUUCCGCCUAUUUGGACAGUUGGUCACCUGCUGGCCAAGGGGUAGGAUUUAAUGAUUUGAAACCUCUUUUGUGAGAAGCAGGACACAUAUACCUCCAUUUUGAUGUAUUUUUUAUGGCUGUGGAGUGAGAUUUGUGGGCGUGGGAGCGAUAUAUUCAAGCGAGGUUCUGUCGAUCAGGGAGGAGGUCUGCACUCUAGCUUUUCAAAUCCUCACUCUAGCCUCUCCAAUACACCCCUAUUGUAAAGCCUGAAAUUUGCUGAAAACCACAAGUUGCAUAAAGCUAAACUGUGGAAAAACUGUAAAAGAUAGCACAAAGAGGUUAAUACAACAUCAAUAGUCGACAAGACAAUGAACAUUUUAAAGCAAAAAUGAGGUCUCUAGGUGAAAGUAUGCUGAAGUUAUAAGGCUUAGAAGGUGGACGAAUAACAGGAAGAAGUGGAAGAUUUCCCCAUUCAUUCCUAUGGGAAAAAAAGUUUGGCACAAAAAGUGAAAAAUAAUAAAAAGUACAAAGGAUAGAAAGGAAAAAAAUACAAGCACACAUGUCCUGAUGGAGUGGAAUAGUUUAAAGUUUAAACGGUUGAAAUCGGACAAAUUUUGAAGGAGGAGAAGCGGUCCAAAGAAAUGUAUGGGGAGAGUGUUAAGUAUAAUACUAGAAAAAUUGCAUUUCCUUGCAGAAAAUGCGUGGAAAUGCUGAGUGCUGAAAGCUGAAAAAGCAAUGCUAAACUGCUAAUAAAACAUGGAGAAAGGUAUAAAUGUUAAAGCUGUUGAAGGGGUGAAAAAGAAAUAUAAGUUGGAUAAUGGUCUAAUUGGUUGAAGGACAAAUAGUAUGAAUAUGCUCUAUAAAUGGAAGUUUUAUUCAUGCUGAAAGAGGCUAGAAAAAUGUCUACAAUUGCACAAAGUUUGAAUGAAGAAGGAAACUUCCUUAAAAGGCAGGAAGGUGAGAAGUGGCAUAAGUUUAAGUUGUAGUACUAGAAGUAGUAUAAUAGGUCAAGUCGUGAUACUAGUAGUCAUGUCAGCAGUAGAAGUAGUUUGAGAAUAAAAGAAGUAUAAGUCACAAUAGUAGAGAAAGUAGAAAUAGGAGCAAUAGCAGUUGAAGUAGAGGGGAUAGUACUAGUUUAAUUGACAUUAGCGGUAGUUGUCGUACUUGAGGUAGGAUUUUGUUUGAAGGAUGGAGUAAUGCAUAAAUAUUAAAACUUAUUUCAAACAGGGAAAAUUGAAAUAAUUAAAAAUCCUCAAGAAUCAGAAAGUUUUUAAGUAUUAGAAAGGUUUGAAUCAGUUUGAAUGAGUUUCAAUUAGUUUGAAAAAAUAAAUGAUAAAUCAUCACUGAGUGACUUUAAAAUGUGAAAAAUUUAAAUGAAUAUAAAUCCUAAAUACACCCCAUAAUGUCCUCAAUGAGCUUAAAUUUUAAAGCCCUGAAUGGUUUCUGUAGGUCAAAGGUCAUGUGAGGAGAUAGGGGCUGAAGUUUUUUCAAGCGCUCUAGGAAAGGGUUUUAAGUGUCAUCCCCAGUGCUGUGUGUACUGAGCCUGGCUUCAUGUGUCUCAUAUGGCCAUUAGAAGCAGCUUUCCAGUCAGCUGUGUGUCUCCAGGUGCACAAGUUGGUUGCCAUGGGGACCUUGGAUGCAUAACUAUAGCAGGAGAAAGAAGGCUUGAAGCUAAAGAAACAGGACUCCAAGUAGGCCCUGACGCUCACCCUCUGUAUAUAUUCAUAAGGAGCUUGUGAGAACACAAGACUCUGCUGAACACAUUAAUACAAUUUAUUAUCACAAUCCUCAAAACACCCCAUAAUAUCUUCAAUGAGCUGAAUUUUUGAAGCCCAGAAUGGUUUCUGUAGCUCAAAGUUUGUGGGUGGAGAUAGGUGGUAAAGCAGACACAUAUUAACUGUGUGUAAAAGCAGCUGAACUGCAAGGUGGACCUCAAAAAGCAACAAGUACAAGAAUGUGUGUGCGUGUGUGUGUGUGUGUGUGUCUCGUUAAUGACUGCAUCCUAAACAGCUGUGAGAUCAAAGGCAAAUCACUGACCUACUGUUUGACUGAGAGGUGCUGAACUGCAGUGAAUUAAGGGUUCUGAACUUCUUCACAUAGCACGAUUUCCUUAAGUCCCAGAAUGAAAAUAAGAACAUCGUACAAAUCCUCCGCCCUUCAUGAACACAAUGAUGUGUUUUUCAUGUCUGUACUCCGAAAAAUGUGGCCACAACAGCGAGUUAAAAAAGUCUGAGCCUGAGUGGCGAUAAGGAUUUUCUUGGAGAAAAAAUACAUUAGAGCCAAUGGGGAGAGAUUUCCGCCUAUUUGGACAGUUGGUCACCUGCUGGCCAAGGGGUAAGAUUUAAUGAUUUGAAACCUCUUUUGUGAGAAGCAGGACACAUAUACCUCCAUUUUGAUGUAUUUUUUAUGGCUGUGGAGUGAGAUUUGUGGGCGUGGGAGCGAUAUAUUCGAGCGAGGUUCUGUCGAUCAGAGAGGAGGUCUGCACUCUAGCUUUUCAAAUCAUCACUCUAGCCUCUCCAAUACACCCCUAUUAUAAAGCCUGAAAUUAGCUGAAAACCACAAGUUGCAUAAAGCUAAAUUGUGGAAAAACUGUAAAAGAUAGCACAAAAAGGUUAAUACAACAUCAAUAGUCGACAAGACAAUGAACAUUUUAAAGCAAAAAUGAGGUCUCUAGGUGAAAGUAUGCUGAAGUUAUAAGGCUUAGAAGGUGGACGAAUAACAGGAAGAAUUGGAAGAUUUCCCCAUUCAUUUCUAUGGGAAAAAAAGUUUGGCACAAAAAGUGAAAAAUAAUAAAAAGUAUAAAGGAUAGAAAAGAGAAAAGUAAUAGCCAUCAUGUCCUGAAGGAGUGGAAUAGUUUAAAGUUUGAACGGUUGAAAUCGGACAAAGUUUGAAGGAGGAGAAGCGGUCCAAAGAAACGUAUGGGGAGAGUGUUAAGUAUAAUACUAGAAAAAUUGCAUUUCCUUGCAGAAAAUGCGUGGAAAUGCUGAGUGCUGAAAGCUGAAAAAGCAAUGCUAAACUGCUAAUAAAACAUGGAGAAAUGUAUAAAUGUUAAAGCUGUUGAAGGGGUGUGAAAGAAAUGUAAGUUGGAUAAUUGAUUAAUUGGUUGAAGGACAAAUAGUAUGAAUAUGCUCUAUAAAAAGAAAUUUUAUUCAUGCUGAAAGAGGCUAGAAAAAUGUCUAAAAUUGCACAAAGUUUGAAUGAAGAAGGAAAUUGCCUCAAAAGGCAGGAAAGUGAGAAGUGGUAUAAGAUUAAUUUUUUAAGUAUUAGAAAGGUUUGAAUCAGUUUAAAUGAGUUCAAAUUAGUUUGAAUAAUUAAAUGAUAAAUCAUCACUGACUGACUUUUAAAAUGUGAAAAAUUUAAAUGAAUAACAAUCCUAAAUACACCCAAUAAUGUCCUCAAUGAGCUCAAAUUUUAAAGCCCUGAAUGGUUUCUGUAGGUCAAAGGUCAUGUGAGGAGAUAGGGGCUGAAGGUUUUUCAAGCGCUCUAGGAAAGGGUUUUAAGUGUCAUCCCCAGUGCUAUGUGUGCUGAGCCUAGCUUCAUGUGUCUCAUAUGGCCAUUAGAAGCAGCUUUCCAGUCAGCUGUGUGUCUCCAGGUGCACUAAUUGGUUGCCAUGGGGACCUUGGAUGCAUAACUAUAGCAGGAGAAAGAAGGCUUGAAGCUAAGGAAACAGGGCUCCAAGUAGGCCCUGACGCUCAUCCUCUGUAUCUAUUCCUGAUAAGGAGCUUGUGAGAACACAAGACUCUGCUAAACACAUUAAUACAAUUUAUUAUCACAAUCCUCAAAACACCCCAUAAUAUCUUCAAUGAGCUGAAUUUUAGAAGCCCAGAAUGGUUUCUGUAGCUCAAAGUUUGUGGGUGGAGAUAGGUGGCGAAGCAGACACAUAUUAACUGUGUGUACAAGCAGCUGAACUGCAAGGUAGACCUCAUAAAGCAACAAGUACAAGAAUGUGUGUGUGUGUGUGUGUGUGUCUCGUUAAUGACUGCAUCCUAAACAGCUGUAAGAUCAAAGCCAUGAACUGACCUAUUGUUUGAAUGGAGAAGCUGCUGAACUGCAGUGAAUUUAGGGUUCUGAACUUCUUCACAUAGCACGAUUUCCUUAAGUCCCAGAAUGAAAAUAAGAACAUCGUACAAAUCCUCCGCCCUUCAUGAACACAAUGAUGUGUUUUUCAUGUCUGUACUCCGAAAAAUGUCGCCACAACAGCGAGUUAAAAAAGUCUGAGCCUGAGUGGCGAUAAGGAUUUUCUUGGAGAAAAAAUACAUUAGAGCCAAUGGGGAGAGAUUUCCACCUAUUUGGACAGUUGGUCACCUGCUGGCCAAGGGGUAAGAUUUAAUGAUUUGAAACCUCUUUUGUGAGAAGCAGGACACAUAUACCUCCAUUUUGAUGUAUUUUUUAUGGCUGUGGAGUGAGAUUUGUGGGCGUGGGAGCGAUAUAUUCGAGCGAGGUUCUGUCGAUCAGAGAGGAGGUCUGCACUCUAGCUUUUCAAAUCAUCACUCUAGCCUCUCCAAUACACCCCUAUUAUAAAGCCUGAAAUUAGCUGAAAACCACAAGUUGCAUAAAGCUAAAUUGUGGAAAAACUGUAAAAGAUAGCACAAAAAGGUUAAUACAACAUCAAUAGUCGACAAGACAAUGAACAUUUUAAAGCAAAAAUGAGGUCUCUAGGUGAAAGUAUGCUGAAGUUAUAAGGCUUAGAAGGUGCACGAAUAACAGGAAGAAUUGGAAGAUUUCCCCAUUCAUUUCUAUGGGAAAAAAGUUUGGAACAAAAAGUGAAAAAUAAUAAAAAGUACAGAGGAUAGAAAGGAAAAAAAUACAAGCACACAUGUCCUGAUGGAGUGGAAUAGUUUAAAGUUUGAACGGUUGAAAUCGGACAAAGUUUGAAGGAGGAGAAGCGGUCCAAAGAAACGUAUGGGGAGAGUGUUAAGUAUAAUACUAGAAAAAUUGCAUUUCCUUUCAGAAAAUGCGUGGAAAUGCUGAGUGCUGAAAGCUGAAAAAGCAAUGCUAAACUGCUAAUAAAACAUGGAGAAAGGUAUAAAUGUUAAAGCUGUUGAAGGGGUGAAAAAGAAAUAUAAGUUGGAUAAUGGUCUAAUUGGUUGAAGGACAAAUAGUAUGAAUAUGCUCUAUAAAUGGAAGUUUUAUUCAUGCUGAAAGAGGCUAGAAAAAUGUCUACAAUUGCACAAAGUUUGAAUGAAGAAGGAAACUGCCUUAAAAGGCAGGAAGGUGAGAAGUGGCAUAAGUUUAAGUUGUAGUACUAGAAGUAGUAUAAUAGGUCAAGUCGUGAUACUAGUAGUCAUGUCAGCAGUAGAAGUAGUUUGAGAAUAAAAGAAGUAUAAGUCACAAUAGUAGAGAAAGUAGAAAUAGGAGCAAUAGUAGUUGAAGUAGAGGGGAUAGUACUAGUUUAAUUGACAUUAGCGGUAGUUGUCGUACUUGAGGUAGGAUUUUGUUUGAAGGAUGGAGUAAUGCAUAAAUAUUAAAACUUAUUUCAAACAGGGAAAAUUGAAAUAAUUAAAAAUCCUCAAGAAUCAGAAAGUUUUUAAGUAUUAGAAAGGUUUGAAUCAGUUUGAAUGAGUUUCAACUAGUUUGAAAAAUAAAUGAUAAAUCAUCACUGAGUGACUUUAAAAUGUGAAAAAUUUAAAUGAAUAUAAAUCCUAAAUACACCCCAUAAUGUCCUCAAUGAGCUUAAAUUUUAAAGCCCUGAAUGGUUUCUGUAGGUCAAAGGUCAUGUGAGGAGAUAGGGGCUGAAGUUUUUUCAAGCACUCUAGGAAAGGGUUUUAAGUGUCAUCCCCAGUGCUAUGCGUACUAAGCCUGGCUUCAUGUGUCUCAUAUGGCCAUUAGAAGCAGCUUUCCAGUCAGCUGUGUGUCUCCAGGUGCACAAAUAUGUUGCCAUGGGGACCUUGGAUGCAUAACUAUAGCCGGAGAAAGAAGGCUUGAAGCUAAAGAAACAGGACUCCAAGUAGGCCCUGACGCUCACCCUCUGUAUAUAUUCAUAAGGAGCUUGUGAGAACACAAGACUCUGCUGAACACAUUAAUACAAUUUAUUAUCACAAUCCUCAAAACACCCCAUAAUGUCUUCAAUGAGCUGAAUUUUUGAAGCCCAGAAUGGUUUCUGUAGCUCAAAGUUUGUGGGUGGAGAUAGGUGGUGAAGCAGACACAUAUUAACUGUGUGUACAAGCAGCUGAACUGCAAGGUGGACCUCAAAAAGCAACAAGUACAAGAAUGUGUGUGCGUGUGUGUGUGUGUGUGUGUGUCUCGUUAAUGACUGCAUCCUAAACAGCUGUGAGAUCAAAGGCAAAUCACUAACCUACUGUUUGACUGAGAGGUGCUGAACUGCAGUGAAUUUCAGCCUGUGAACUUCUUCACAUAGCGUGAUUUCCUUAAGUCCCAGAAUGAAAAUAAGAACAUCGUACGAAUCCCCCGUCCUUCAUGAACACAAUGAUGUGUUUUUCAUGUCUCUACUUCGAAAAAUGAGGCCACAACAGCGAGUUAAAAAAGUCUGAGCCUGAGCGAUGAUCCGGAUUUUCUUGGAGAGAAAUAACAUUACAGUCAAUGGGAGAGAUUUCCGCCUUUUUUGGACAGUUGGUCACCUGCUGGCCAAGGGGUACGAUUUAAUGAUUUGAAACCUCUUUUGUGAGAAGCAGGACACAUAUACCUCCAUUUUGAUGUAUUAUUUGUGUCAGUGGAGUGAGAUUUGUGGGCGUGGGAGCGAUAUAUUCGAGCGAGGUUCUGUCGAUCAGAGACGAGGUCUGCACUCUAGCUGAUGACAUCAUCACUCUAAACUCUCCAAUACACACCCAUUAUAAAGCUUGAAAUUUGCUGAAAACCACAAGUUGCUUAAAGCUAAAUUGUGGAAGAACUGUAGAAGAUAUCAAAAAACUGAGUACAACUAUAAUAGUCGACAAGUGAAUGAACAUUUUAAAGCAAAAAUGAGGUCUCUAGGUGAAAGUAUGCUGAAGUUAUAAGACUUUGAAGGUGGAAGAAAAAAAGGAAGAAGUGGAAGAUUUCCCCAUUGACUUCAAUGUUAAAAUUUUUGCACAAAAAGUUAAAAAUAUCAAAAAGUAUAAAGGGUAGAAGAGUAAAAAGUAAUAGCCAUCAUGUCCUGAAGGAGUGGAAUAGUUUAAAGUUUGAACGGUUGAAAUCGGACAAAGUUUGAAGGAGGAGAAGCGCGGCAAAAAACGGCGGAAGAAUAAUAAGAAGAAUAAAGAAACAGGAGAAUAACAAUAAGUGGAAAUGCUUAAUCAGCAUUUCCACUUAAUAACUAGAAAA